rnacentral:rRNA from 1 species
UACAGAGGUCCCAAGCGUUGUUCGGAUUCACUGGGCGUAAAGGGUGCGUAGGUGGUGAGGUAAGUCGGAUGUGAAAGCUCGGAGCUCAACUCCGAAAUGGCAUUGGAAACUACCUUGCUCGAGGGUUGGAGGGGGGACUGGAAUACUUGGUGUAGCAGUGAAAUGCGUAGAUAUCAAGUGGAACACCAGUGGCGAAGGCGAGUCCCUGGACAGCUCCUGACACUGAGGCACGAAAGCUAGGGGAGCAAACAGG